AACAGGAUUAGAUACCCUGGUAGUCCACGCCCUAAACGAUGUCUACUAGUUGUCGGGUCUUAAUUGACUUGGUAACGCAGCUAACGCGUGAAGUAGACCGCCUGGGGAGUACGGUCGCAAGAUUAAAACUCAAAGGAAUUGACGGGGACCCGCACAAGCGGUGGAUGAUGUGGAUUAAUUCGAUGCAACGCGAAAAACCUUACCUACCCUUGACAUGGCUGGAAUCCCCGAGAGAUUGGGGAGUGCUCGAAAGAGAACCAGUACACAGGUGCUGCAUGGCUGUCGUCAGCUCGUGUCGUGAGAUGUUGGGUUAAGUCCCGCAACGAGCGCAACCCUUGUCAUUAGUUGCUACGAAAGGGCACUCUAAUGAGACUGCCGGUGACAAACCGGAGGAAGGUGGGGAUGACGUCAAGUCCUCAUGGCCCUUAUGGGUAGGGCUUCACACGUCAUACAAUGGUACAUACAGAGCGCCGCCAACCCGCGAGGGGGAGCUAAUCGCAGAAAGUGUAUCGUAGUCCGGAUUGUAGUCUGCAACUCGACUGCAUGAAGUUGGAAUCGCUAGUAAUCGCGGAUCAGCAUGUCGCGGUGAAUACGUUCCCGGGUCUUGUACACACCGCCCGUCACACCAUGGGAGCGGGUUUUACCAGAAGUAGGUAGCUUAACCGUAAGGAGGGCGCUUACCACGGUAGGAUUCGUGACUGGGGUGAAGUCGUAACAAGGUAACC
rnacentral:rRNA from 1 species